rnacentral:rRNA from 1 species
UACGUAGGUGGCAAGCGUUGUCCGGAAUUAUUGGGCGUAAAGCGCGCGCAGGUGGUUCUUUAAGUCUGAUGUGAAAGCCUCCGGCUCAACCGGAGAGGGUCAUUGGAAACUGGGGAACUUGAGUGCAGAAGAGGAUAGUGGAAUUCCAAGUGUAGCGGUGAAAUGCGUAGAGAUUUGGAGGAACACCAGUGGCGAAGGCGACUAUCUGGUCUGUAACUGACACUGAGGCGCGAAAGCGUGGGGAGCAAACAGG